rnacentral:lncRNA from 10 species
AUCUUAUCACCAACCUACGGAUAAGGAAUCUGGCUGGGAAGGACUGAAUGACCUGCUCAAGGUCACACAUCUAGAAAGAGGCACCUUUAGGACUUGAAUGAGAUGACUUUUAUAUCAAUGCCUGGGCUCCUAAUCGCCAUGCUGUCUUGACCGUCUGCAACAAACCCUUCACUCGACAAAUGGGGAUGUUAAGGCCCAGAAAGGCAAAGAAAGUUCCCCAAGGUCACAAGAUCAAUUGGCCACAUAGUUGAGGCUGGCUAAGAGAAAAGAAUAAUUUCUUGCUGGAUUCUUGGGAGAACCAUACAGGAAUAAGGUGUGACGGGACAGGGAGGAAGAUUAGAGCAAAACAAGGGAGUUGAAGUGAGGGAGUUAGGAGAACCUGGAUACCCCAGAAAACGCCAGCUCCAAUGUAGCCCACCCUGGCAGCCCAGGUGAUGGUGAGAGAUGCAACUCACUUCUUCUGCUUCUUCUCCAGCUCAUGGUUUCGACUUUGUUGGUUCUCUAGCAGGACGCAGGUAUCCUCAAGGUCACAGACCCCUGAUCUCCAUUCCCCUGGACAUCUCAAGGGCACAAAUUCUCUGGACACACGGAGGGAAUAAUGCUGACAUUUUAUAGAAGCUGACCCACUGGAUAUCCUUCUCACCCAACUCCAUUAGGCUGGGGAGAGUAAGAGGCACGGUGACAAGGUGGCAAAGAUGUCACCAUGCCA